ACUGACAAACAGGUUUGACUACAUGUCUUUCAACAAGAGGUAUACGAUUUGUCAGUCCUGAUAUUUCUGUAAGCAAACAAGAUGAAAUGCAUAUAUAUUUAAAUAUAAUAAUGAGCUUCUCGGUUGUUUGUCAGGACUUAUACGCUGAUGUUUUCUGUAUGUACCAGUUGAUCCUCCCUCUAACCUUUGAGUCCAGUAGCCGAUUUCCAUCAAACUUCAGAAGGGGUAGCAGUCUCGGGUAUAACAAUACUCAAGUUUUCAAGAGCUAAGGGGCUAUUGAGAGAGAGAGAGACCUUACAAGUCUGCUGAUAAGAAAGCUUAUAAGCUUUCUCCUUUCUAGUCACCGGAGAAUUCAAAUGGAGCAGGCUGAGAGGGAAAUGCAGAACUACUCGCCUUCACUUGCAAAUCACCUGUAAAGAACGUGACAGUUUAAGGCCCCACUAGUCUGCAAUAGGUGGCUGGCGGAUGGACUGCAACAUGGAAGUGGACUUCUAAUGGAUUCAUCUGGGCUAUGCAGUUUCAACAGUUAACUUCUGGAAUAAAGUCCUGCAAGACCAAUAUCUGCUUUCUAACAGGGGCAUGAAGAUGGUUUUAUUGACAAAUCCUGAAAACACUUAUAACUGGGUGCAAUGUUACUAGCAGUGGUAAUCCAGUUGGUGACACUUGUCUAAGGAAUAACUUCUUAAAAUGGUUAAAUGAAAAUGUGAUUCACUUGCAAAUAUUUUUGCCCUGAUUAUAGCUUCAAGGCUGAAGAGGAGUAGCAGUUACCCAUAAAUUUAUCCUCUUAAUGUGAGGUGCUUCAAAAGAGACAUACAGAAUGCUAGAGAAACACUAUUUCAAAUCUUUAAUUUAAAACAAAUUGCUAAAAUGGCCAUGGGAAAUCUCACAAAAGCAAAUAAUUCUAAGACACUACCAAGAAAAAUCAGAGACAAAUCAUCAUUGCUACAAAGGAAGAUCUCUUUCACAGGGCAGUGAAUAAAAGAAAAUCUACUAAUAUAAUUGAUUUUUAACUUUCAAAAAGCCUUUGACCUUACUGCCCACAAGAGGCUACUAAGGAGAUCAGUGCUGUGAUCCAACUUUUGCUUUCCUCCGUAGCAUUCUUUAUUCAUGUGAUGCCCCAUUAACAUUAAGGGACGUAGCAGUCUGCCCACAUGAAAGAAAUUGCAGUCAGUUCCUACACAGAGACUGAUAGGGUAAUAUAUGACAAAGUGACACUGAGACCUGAAAUAGUAUUCCUUGCUCUAAAUGUUUCCUUGUUUUCUGUUACUUGCUUGACUUUCUUUUGAGGUUAUAAGCCAUUGGAGCAGAGACCAUUCUCCACAAUGCUUACCUGUAGACUGAGCAACUUAGCCCAUUGUGCUUUACAGACAUGUAUGAAAUGAGGUAGGGGCGUAACUGUGUGCAGAAUUGGGGCUUAUUCGUGCAUCCUGGCACAGUCCAUGCUGCCCCAGAGUUCUGGGUCCCAUAACCAUAGAAAUUGUAAGUCCUAAAGGAUCUCUCAUAAUUUGAGAACAAAGUGAUAUUUAAUUAAACUAAGAGGACACAAAGUUAAAAUCAAUGCAGCCCUUUUCCUUAGCUCUUUUUACAAUAGCGUAUAAUUAGUCCAUGGAACUUGCUAUCUCAAGAUACUGCCAAACCCCAGCGCUGGGGGCAGUGUCAGGAAGGAUUUGUUUAGGGAAGGGCACAGCUUACAGGGGGAAUGGAGUAGCUUCUCCCCCAUCUAAGAACUGCCCAAGUGCAGUCUGAAAAGAUGGCUGUUUCAUUCUCUAUAAUAUACAAGCUAAGUUGAGGCAUUGCCUAUAAGGGUAUCAUCCCUUCCAGCUCCAGGUAGCAGUGAUGAACUUAUCAAUGUAAAAUUUACUGUAAUCGGAAAGAUUACUCCUUCCUAUAGUCUAAAUUUUUCUCUGACUGUGUUCAGGAUUAAAAACUUAGGAAAUAAAACAAGCGACUUGAUGGUAGCCAGAAUUUUUCAUGCUCAAAAGUUCUUCUGAAACCUGAUAGGUUGCUGACUUACAUUAUAAGGACUCUGUCAGAUAUUUUAAAAGUGUUUUAUCUUAUCUUGCAUAAAGUUUGUGCCAGCGUCUCUAAUUUCAGCUCAGGACAACACAGGCAUAAAUGCAGAUACAGGCAUCUCCUGGCAUAUACUCAGAUAACUGGCACCUGUGCAGUAAGUGUGACAUGCUCCAGAUACCUCAGAUUUAUACUCACUUGAAGUGCAGUUGAUCUGUGUAUGUGUGCUGGCCAGUUAUCAGGUCAGCCAUCAUUUGAUCUGCAUUAUUGCAUAUCCAGUCAGGUUGAUAGCUAUCCAGAUAUCCCAGACAUGAAGCCAAAUUCCUUUUUUUCUGUUUGAUCAAAAUUUAGGGAGUGAGAGCAAGAAAGGACAUGCAUGGAAAGAAUUAAGAUAUGUAAGUGAAUACGCAGCUUUUUAUUACAGAAAGGAUUGCUCUUCCACUAACCACUACAGUGCUCUUUGUCUCUGAGUGCCUCCCCAGCUCCUGGGAUGUGGCAUGAGGAAAUGGCAAGGGCAGAGCAGAGCAGCACUUCUAGUUCCAAGCCUUUCUUCGCCCAGCACCGCGGCCUUCUUCCAGUGGCAUCUGAGGCACAAGUGGGGUUAUGGCAGAAGUGUCUGGGUAGGAAUAGGGUAGGGGGAGCGCAGUGAUGAAAAUGCUUAGAAUUAGCAAGGCAGCUUCUCCCUGCUUGCAACUCUGGUGUAGCCAUUGCCUCCUGGCAGUAUCCCUCCCAGCGCUGCCCCCAGCAUUUCUUUCUCCCCUGCUGCCAUAAGCCCUGUGUGUCAAUGCUACACAGGUUGAAAAUAGCCACAUAAAUAAUUCACAAAUUGUUGGGAGCGCAUGCAAGGCUGAGAAUGUGCCUUCGUGAGGGGGAAGAGGAAAAACUUUAAAAACUGCCGGUCUAAUGAUUAUGAAUUGUCUAAUCUUUUCUCAGCCUCUGUUUUACAGCUUUACAUAUACAGCUUAUUAUUACUUAUAACAGAAAUGACCAAAUGCUUGCUAAGUAUUAUCCAGUCCAUAGAAAAGAAACCAUCGCUCUUCAGAAGAAUUUAUAAUUUUUGAAGUUCCAGUUUUACAGGUUUGCAAAUGUCCCUGCACAUGGCUGGAAACUAACAGACUCUAACUAAUAACUUUACACAUGAGCAGUCCCAGGAAACUCAAUGCGUCCACUCAUGUGCAUAAAUGUUUACAGAAACAAGAUCCAAUUGUUCUGGAAAUCCAUAUAUUUUGUAUAUUUAUAAUUUGUUCUGUCUGAGCCAUCGUCUCAUGUUUGUUGUGAUGAAACUCUCAUUUAUUUUUGAGUGGAAACAAGCUGGUUUAGGUUUUGCUCCCAAAUCCUUCCAAAUGUUUUGUUUCCAAAUGCUUCUCUAUGCUUGUUUGUCUUUCUAGGUGUCAUCCUGACAUCUGUACUCUGGAAAAUAUAACCUUCUCAGCCUGAAACGCUGUUCUUGUAGCUAUAAGAUUUUAUAGUAGCAUGAUAUUUAUCUCUGUCCAUUAAAUAGCCCACCAUUACUUAAAGUUUUUACAAGUUCUUGAAUAUCAUAGGAGAGUCCUGAGUCUCAGUUUAAAGUCUUAAAUGCUUGUUGCUCAUAUGUGUGUGGAGCUUUACACCGUGUUCUGAAAAUCUAUAGUAACAUCUCAUUCACAACAACAAGAUACAAUAAAAUAACCUAGGGGUGGUA